rnacentral:rRNA from 1 species
UGGGGAAUUUUGGACAAUGGGGGCAACCCUGAUCCAGCAAUGCCGCGUGUGUGAAGAAGGCCUUCGGGUUGUAAAGCACUUUUGUCCGGGAAGAAAUCGCACCUGAUAAUACCGGGUGUGGAUGACGGUACCGGAAGAAUAAGGACCGGCUAACUACGUGCCAGCAGCCGCGGUAAUACGUAGGGUCCAAGCGUUAAUCGGAAUUACUGGGCGUAAAGCGUGCGCAGGCGGUCGUGCAAGACCGAUGUGAAAUCCCCGGGCUUAACCUGGGAAUUGCAUUGGUGACUGCACGGCUAGAGUGUGUCAGAGGGGGGUAGAAUUCCACGUGUAGCAGUGAAAUGCGUAGAGAUGUGGAGGAAUACCGAUGGCGAAGGCAGCCCCCUGGGAUAACACUGACGCUCAUGCACGAAAGCGUGGGGAGCAAACAGG